rnacentral:lncRNA from 1 species
GACAGGCAGAGAGACACAGGCAGAGGGAGAAGUAGGCUCCAUGCAGGGAGACCGAUGUGGGACUUGAUCCCGUGUCUCCAGGAUCAUGCCUUGAGCUGAAGGCAGGUGCCAAACCUGCUGAGCCACCCAAAGAUGCCAGGAUGCUUUUUGUUGUUUGUUUUUUGUUUGUUUUACUUGUAGCAAGAAUUAUUAUCAAACUCCACUCAUUGGGCUAGAGACCCUUGUGGUUUUAGUGCAAGACUUGCCCCUCAUGCAGCACUUCACCUACGCUUGUGAGUUCCUCGGUCAGUCGGCAGCCUCAACGCCAGGCUUUAACAAUGUGCAGCCUGGGAUGGUUUUAAGUCUGUUUCUUUUUCCUGUUUCAAAGAUGGAUGUUGUAAUAUAUAUUUUUUCUCACUGCUGGGGGUGAAGUCCUCAUGGCCAACUGGGUAAUGGUAAUGCUGAGCAAUCCAAUUCUAACAUCACAUUGUAACAUCUUUAUUGAACCCAUCCUGGUACAGUCUGUUGCAGGUCAGGUUCUUGAACGCGUCGAUUGGAGUACGGGAUGAUAUUAUUCUCAGCAUCAACCGUUCUUGAGGGAAGGAAGAAAGCAGGGUAUGGCAGGAGGAGAAUCAGAGCUUCAAUGACAUCACCUUAAAGUUCUAGAUCAUAUAGUGAGCUCUGAAGCUAGAAUUACUCUUUGGAGUUCUCUGGCAAUUGGAAGAAGGGGCAAGGCCUUAUGGCCUCACAUUGGGCAGCUGCUCCCUGGAGGGAUGCAUUAACUCGGGCAUGACAGCCUUCUUCGGCAGAGGGAACACCCUGGAGAAGGUUCCUGAAGACAGCCUGCAGCAAUAUUCCCAGUUCUAAAUAAUAAGGCCUUUGGUCCUGAAGGGGAAUCUGUGAGAAGCAACUAAGGAUCCACAACAAUCAGCUUAGGACAUACCAUAAAAGGACAGUGGAAAUAGAUAAUAAAUGUAACUUGUACCAGUGUAGAAUCA